rnacentral:rRNA from 1 species
AGGUAAGCUACUAAGAGCGAAUGGUGGAUGCCUUGACUGGUAAAGGCGAUGAAGGACGUACUAGACUGCGAUAAGCUACGGGGAGCUGUCAAGAAGCUUUGAUCCGUAGAUUUCCGAAUGGGGCAACCCAAUGUAUAGAGAUAUACAUUACCUAUAUAGGAGCGAACGAGGGGAAUUGAAACAUCUUAGUACCCUCAGGAAAAGAAAUCAAUAGAGAUUGCGUCAGUAGCGGCGAGCGAAAGCGCAAGAGGGCAAACCCAGUGCUUGCACUGGGGGUUGUAGGACUGCAAUGUGCAAGAGGUAAGUUUAGCAGAACAUUCUGGAAAGUAUAACCAUAGAGGGUGAUAGUCCCGUAUGCGAAAAACAAACCUUAGCUAGCAGUAUCCUGAGUAGGGCGGGACACGAGGAAUCCUGUCUGAAUCUGGGUCGACCACGAUCCAACCCUAAAUACUAAUACCAGAUCGAUAGUGCACAAGUACCGUGAGGGAAAGGUGAAAAGAACUGAGGUGAUCAGAGUGAAAUAGAACCUGAAACCAUUUGCUUACAAUCAUUCAGAGCCCUAUGUAGCAAUACAGGGUGAUGGACUGCCUUUUGCAUAAUGAGCCUGCGAGUUGUGGUGUCUGGCAAGGUUAAGCAAACGCGAAGCCGUAGCGAAAGCGAGUCUGAAUAGGGCGCUUAGUCAGAUGCUGCAGACCCGAAACGAAGUGAUCUAUCCAUGAGCAAGUUGAAGCUAGUGUAAGAACUAGUGGAGGACUGAACCCAUAGGCGUUGAAAAGCCUCGGGAUGACUUGUGGAUAGGGGUGAAAGGCCAAUCAAACUUCGUGAUAGCUGGUUCUCUCCGAAAUAUAUUUAGGUAUAGCGUUGUGUCGUAAUAUAAGGGGGUAGAGCACUGAAUGGGCUAGGGCAUACACCAAUGUACCAAACCCUAUCAAACUCCGAAUACCUUAUAUGUAAUCACAGCAGUCAGGCGGCGAGUGAUAAAAUCCGUCGUCAAGAGGGAAACAACCCAGACUACCAGCUAAGGUCCCUAAAUCUUACUUAAGUGGAAAACGAUGUGAAGUUACUUAAACAACCAGGAGGUUGGCUUAGAAGCAGCCAUCCUUUAAAGAAAGCGUAAUAGCUCACUGGUCUAGUGAUUUUGCGCGGAAAAUAUAACGGGGCUAAAGUAAGUACCGAAGCUGUAGACUUAGUUUACUAAGUGGUAGGAGAGCGUUCUAUUUGCGUCGAAGGUAUACCGGUAAGGAGUGCUGGAGCGAAUAGAAGUGAGCAUGCAGGCAUGAGUAGCGAUAAUUAAUGUGAGAAUCAUUAACGCCGUAAACCCAAGGUUUCCUACGCGAUGCUCGUCAUCGUAGGGUUAGUCGGGUCCUAAGUCGAGUCCGAAAGGGGUAGACGAUGGCAAAUUGGUUAAUAUUCCAAUACCAACAUUAGUGUGCGAUGGAAGGACGCUUAGGGCUAAGGGGGCUAGCGGAUGGAAGUGCUAGUCUAAGGUCGUAGGAGGUUAUACAGGCAAAUCCGUAUAACAAUACUCCGAGAACUGAAAGGCUUUUUGAAGUCUUCGGAUGGAUAGAAGAACCCCUGAUGCCGUCGAGCCAAGAAAAGUUUCUAAGUUUAGCUAAUGUUGCCCGUACCGUAAACCGACACAGGUGGGUGGGAUGAGUAUUCUAAGGCGCGUGGAAGAACUCUCUUUAAGGAACUCUGCAAAAUAGCACCGUAUCUUCGGUAUAAGGUGUGGUUCGCUUCGUAUUAGGAUUUACUCCGAAAGCGAAGAAACUUACAACAAAGAGUCCCUCCCGACUGUUUACCAAAAACACAGCACUCUGCUAACUCGUAAGAGGAUGUAUAGGGUGUGACGCCUGCCCGGUGCUCGAAGGUUAAUUGAUGGGGUUAGCAUUAGCGAAGCUCUUGAUCGAAGCCCGAGUAAACGGCGGCCGUAACUAUAACGGUCCUAAGGUAGCGAAAUUCCUUGUCGGUUAAAUACCGACCUGCAUGAAUGGCGUAACGAGAUGGGAGCUGUCUCAAAGAGGGAUCCAGUGAAAUUGUAGUGGAGGUGAAAAUUCCUCCUACCCGCGGCAAGACGGAAAGACCCCGUGGACCUU